rnacentral:rRNA from 1 species
CCUACGGGAGGCAGCAGUGAGGAAUAUUGGUCAAUGGACGAGAGUCUGAACCAGCCAAGUAGCGUGAAGGAUGACUGCCCUAUGGGUUGUAAACUUCUUUUAUAUGGGAAUAAAACGUUCCACGUGUGGGAUUUUGUAUGUACCAUAUGAAUAAGGAUCGGCUAACUCCGUGCCAGCAGCCGCGGUAAUACGGAGGAUCCGAGCGUUAUCCGGAUUUAUUGGGUUUAACGGGAGCGUAGGUGGAUUGUUAAGGCAGUUGUGAAAGUUUGCGGCUAAACCGUAAAAUUGCAGUUGAAACUGGCAGUCUUGAGUACAGUAGAGGUGGGCGGAAUUCGUGGUGUAGCGGUGAAAUGCUUAGAUAUCACGAAGAACUCCGAUUGCGAAGGCAGUUCACUGGACUGCAACUGACACUGAGGCUCGAAAGUGUGGGUAUCAAACAGGAUUAGAUACCCUAGUAGUC